AUGAAGAAGAUGCUGGAGGCAACAAAGCGCUCAGCAGACAGGGUACAUGAUGACACAGAGACGGUGCUGUCGGAGCUCCAGCGCUCAGUGGAGAGGCUCCAGGAGCUGGUGGAGGGUGUGAUGAACCAGGCUGGGCAGGAGAAAGUAAGCGAGGCCCAGGACGUGGUGAACAAGCUGGAGGCCGAGAUCUCGGAGCUGAAGAGGAGAGACAAGGACAUGAAGGAGGUGUUCCGCUGUGAGGACAACAUCCACUUCCUGGAGGUAGGACGCUUGUCUCUUUCUGCUACCUUUUAUAUAUUUUUGAUCCACUUUCGCUGCAUGCAGCUGGUUGAUGGCCAUAUUGGACAUGGCUGCCAGGGUGUGAAAGACCACAUCUGCGAUGGGACAAAAGUUAAAAAGCAGCAUUGUCCUAGUCAUGUUUGAAAUGUGGAGCUUCUAUCACAAAAGGCAUUAUUUCUUAAAUGACGUGUCUUCUUUUUCUGACGUUGCCUUUCUUUCGGUCUUCAUUUCUCCAUCUCUGCCCUCUUCCAUCCCAUCCUCUUCUCCUCAUUUCUCCAUCUCUGCCCUCUUCCAUUCCAUCCUCUUCUCCACUUCCUCCUUCUCCUGUGCGCCGCCCUACAGACCUGUGAGUCUCUGUGCAGCCCGUUUGAGUGUAAUGAUCUGUCGUGUGUGGUGGCCAAUCCAGAGGCUACGUUUGAGCCUGUACGUGAAGCCAUCCUGAACCUACGGGAGAGAGUGGAGGACAUGUGCAACGUGGAACUGGGCAAGAUCACCAAGACAGGUGUGUCAGAGUGGCGGACAUGCAUACUACACACACACACACACACAUCAAUUCACACACACACACACACACACACACACACACAACUUGCAGAGAUCUCUAUCACCAUUACCUUGUCCACUAUAAAUAUAAAUAUUUUUUCCAUACUACGUUUUAGACUGAUAUCAGUGGAUCAAUACAAUGUCAAUGAGUUAAUAAACUGCCAUUUCUCAUCCUUCUCUUCAGUGAAUGACACAACACUGUUCACCUUAGGAGACAAAGGUGAGUUCUGGUCCAGAGAUGUCUCUAGCUCUGGUCCAGGGUGUUCUGUGGGGCUUGAAGAAGGCUCAGCAUAAGCAAGCCACUCGUAAUGCUAGAGCUAGAAGCCAUCGAUUACCAAUAAACAUUUAAAUUGUGGAUUGACAGACUGUACUUACUCACUGCACUGUUUUCCCCAUCAUAGCAAAAAAAAAUGGCGUCCAGAAGACGGGAGGGUUCAGGAGUUGUGAGUAGUUUUCCCAUUUCUUUAUUGGUAGUGUGAGUUGGACUUUAAUAAUUCACUGAGAUUGUGAACUAAUCUGAAUUGGACAUUUUAGUCAACAGCAAAUAAUGUGAGGAAAGGCAAUAUUUAAUUUACGUAGUGCAAAUGCUUUAUACUCAGUGCCUGUUCCUUUUGGUGCUGGUCUUUUCACUUGUCUAGUUGAGUGAUUGGUCAUCAUCAUUAAUUGUGCAGUUUGGAUAUGAAAUACCUAACUUGAAAUAAUGAUUUAUUGUUCCUGAUGAAGGAUCAUCAUAGUCAGGUUUUUAAUAGUUAAACAAAAGGUUUUUAAUAGUUACUGUAUGUUUUUAAUAGUUACAGUAUGUUUUUAAUGGUUAAACAGU
rnacentral:lncRNA from 1 species